GACGAACGCUGGCGGCGUGCUUAACACAUGCAAGUCGAACGAAGUGGCGAACGGGUGAGUAACGCGUAAUCAACCUGCCCUUCAGAGGGGGACAACAGUUGGAAACGACUGCUAAUACCGCAUACUGAAGGAGGGGAUUGCGUCUGAUUCGCUAGUUGGAGGGGUAACGGCCCAACAAGGCGAUGAUCAGGAGCCUGGGUUGGAGGAGGAACGGCCCCAUUGUGACGGAGACACGGCCCAGACUCAUACGGGAGGCAGCAGUGGGGAAUCUUUCGCAAUGGACGAAAAUCUGACGGAGCAGCGCCGCGUGAGGGAUGACGGCCUUCGGGUUGUAAAGCUCUGUUAAUCGGGACGCGUUACCGGAAGAGAAAGCCACGGCUAACUACGUGCCAGCAGCCGCGGUAAUUC
rnacentral:rRNA from 1 species